rnacentral:rRNA from 1 species
GAUGAACGCUGGCGGCGUGCCUAAUACAUGCAAGUCGAGCGAACAGACGAGGAGCUUGCUCCUCUGACGUUAGCGGCGGACGGGUGAGUAACACGUGGAUAACCUACCUAUAAGACUGGGAUAACUUCGGGAAACCGGAGCUAAUACCGGAUAAUAUAUUGAACCGCAUGGUUCAAUAGUGAAAGACGGUUUUGCUGUCACUUAUAGAUGGAUCCGCGCCGCAUUAGCUAGUUGGUAAGGUAACGGCUUACCAAGGCGACGAUGCGUAGCCGACCUGAGAGGGUGAUCGGCCACACUGGAACUGAAACACGGACCAGACUCCUACGGGAGGCAGCAGUAGGGAAUCUUCCGCAAUGGGCGAAAGCCUGACGGAGCAACGCCGCGUGAGUGAUGAAGGUCUUCGGAUCGUAAAACUCUGUUAUUAGGGAAGAACAAAUGUGUAAGUAACUAUGCACGUCUUGACGGUACCUAAUCAGAAAGCCACGGCUAACUACGUG